rnacentral:rRNA from 1 species
CCUACGGGUGGCAGCAGUGGGGAAUAUUGCACAAUGGGCGAAAGCCUGAUGCAGCAACGCCGCGUGAGUGAAGAAGGCCUUCGGGUCGUAAAUCUCUGUCCUCAAGGAAGAUAAUGACGGUACUUGAGGAGGAAGCCCCGGCUAACUACGUGCCAGCAGCCGCGGUAAUACGUAGGGGGCUAGCGUUCUCCGGAUUUACUGGGCGUAAGGGGGGCGUAGGGGGCUUCUUAAGUCGGAGGUAAAAGGCUACGGCUCAACCGUAGUAAGCCUUUGAAACUGGGGAACUUGAGUGCAGGAGAGGGAAGUGGAAUUCCUAGUGUAGCGGUGAAAUGCGUAGAUAUUAGGAGGAACACCAGUUGCGAAGGCGGCUCUCUGGA